GUCAGCGGCGCAUGCGCAACAGAACGGACGGCACUGCAGAAGCAGCCGAGUUCGCGAGUGUAUCGAUUUUACGAUCGUGUCUCUCGCCGCUAGUGCGUCCGUUUCCUUUAGUUUUUAGUGGUCGUGCUCAUAGUACAUGGAUAAAAUCGUGAAUGGGAUUAGUCGCUAGUCUCAUCGUUCCGUACACCCGCUGACUCGCAACACUUUGCCACCCUCGCCAUGACCAAGGAUAGAUUAGCAGCCCUCGUUGCGGCCCAGUCGGACGACGAUGACGUGGCGGACGAUGUUUCCGUCAACGUUGGCGGGCCAGAUGAUUUUAUGACCGAAUUUUUCGCGGAGGUGGAGGAGAUCCGCGAAAUGAUAGACAGGAUCCAGACGAACGUAGAGGAUGUGAAGAAAAAACAUAGUGCCAUCUUAUCGGCACCACAAACCGACGAAAAGGUUAAAAUGGAAUUGGAAGACCUGAUGUCCGAUAUCAAGAAAACGGCCAAUAAAGUCAGAGCUAAGCUGAAGGUGAUAGAACAAAAUAUCGAGCAAGAAGAGCACACGAACAAAUCUUCGGCGGAUUUGAGGAUACGCAAGACACAGCAUUCGACGCUUUCGAGGAAGUUCGUCGAAGUGAUGACGGAGUAUAAUCGAACGCAAACCGAUUACAGAGAACGGUGUAAGGGAAGGAUACAACGACAGCUGGAAAUCACCGGUAGGACGACCACCAACGAGGAACUGGAGGAAAUGCUGGAACAAGGAAAUCCGGCGGUGUUCACGCAGGGGAUUAUCAUGGAAACGCAACAAGCGAAACAGACGCUCGCCGAUAUCGAGGCGCGUCAUGCCGACAUCAUUAAACUAGAAAAUUCGAUCAGGGAACUUCACGAUAUGUUCAUGGACAUGGCGAUGUUGGUAGAAAGUCAGGGUGAGUUAGUGGACCGCAUUGAAUACCUCGUGGAUCAAACCGGCGACCACGUUGGCCAAGCCUGGGAGGAGCUGAUCAAGGCCGAGGAGUAUCGAAGCAAAGCUCGUAAGAAAUUGAUGUUCAUCGUAAUUUGCCUGACAAUAGCGAUCAUCAUUCUCAUAAUCAUUCUGGUAUAUGCGUUGUAAGAAGAUAGAUCGACGAUACGAGGAUUUCAGUGAAGCGGUACGAAAGCGAACACGAAAGUGGACCAUGAAAGAAAAGUAAAAAAAAAAAGAAAAAAAAAGAAAAGAAAAAAAAAGACAAAAAAGAGAGGAAAGACAAUGUUUUCGUUGAAUGGCAGGGCACGCAUACACACCCAGCCAGCUCGCAGAAAAAGGUCGCGAACUGUAGCAACAGCUGCGGCGUUUUCGCGUACACGCGUCACACGUUUCGAGAAAGCGAACACGCCGAACGCUGUCCGACGAUUUAGAAAUACUCGCACGAGUUCUCCCCGUAUUCGGAUUCGUUUGCUGGAGAAUCGCGUGCGGCGGUCGAUGCUAAGUGAGCGGUCGUGUGCGACGCCGUUUUAAACGUCUUCCCCGAUUUUCUCGUAACCGUGUCCAGAAUUAUUAUGAAAUUUGUGUAUUUCCAGCUACGUACGUUGUCGUCGCGUAUAAAAGUGGUCGCGUAGCACGCGUUGCCGUGGCUCGUCGAAGGUACACGGAGGUCGAUGACGAAACCAGACGUCCCGACCGAUCGAGCGAUCCAGCAAUCGCGCGAAACGAAUUUUCAGUUAAUUCCGCACGAUCCGUUAAUAAGUAGGCGAUUUGUACGAAAGAGGUAGUAGAUGUAACGGAGGAUAUUUAGGGCGGGCGAUCUCGUUAAGCAGAAAUUUGCGUUUUUUCUCGUAUCUGAACGCGUGUCGUGUCUAUACAGCGAUGCGAAAAGAGAGGAAAAUAAAAGAAACGAAAAGAGAGAAGCGAACGCGCGAAUCUAGGAUUCGUUUGAUGCGACACGAUCCGACGAUCCGACGAGAUUUGCAAGGAUCCAAGAGCACGCGAACAGUUUGCCAGCAAGUGGUCAGUGACACACGCAGAGAGGCAUGCGAAACACGUGCGAUUUAAAAAGAAGAUCGAAUACGAUGUUUGCGUGGGUGUUGUGUACGCGUAAAGAGAAGAAAGAAGGGAGGCGUGAUGCAACGUGGCGUGUAGCAUAUACCAGCGAGGAGAUCACAGAGUAGUUACGAUAGGUACGAACCGCUAAAUUGCGUACCGUGUUGAUAAUCGAUCAUUAUGUUUUUGCCGAUGCAUUGAUGCCGAGCGCAGAAGAAGAUCAUGAUCAUGAUCUGCCUUGCUAUACUCGCCGUCGUUCUGACUACCACCAUCGGUGGAUAUUUUGGGCUGUAAACGCCGCACCCAGACAAAUCCGAAGAGGUUGCCGUCGCGUUCGUCACCGCGCGAAACGUCGGCAACGUCCGAGUCCAGACAAAUCGGCCCGAAACAACAUUGGACACCUCGCCCGUUCCAAGUCGCACGGUCGUCGUCGACUGGAACUUGGCCAUUGUCAACGGCAACAGCAACAGCGACGACAGUGGCUCGAUCGCGAUGUUGUCGACAGGCCUUUUGUCCGCGCGUGCCGCUCCUCGUCCUACGGAUCGUCGCUGUAUUUUGCCUUCUGUCACGCUUACGCGUCAACGUAUACGCGUCCAACUUCUUCAUCGUCAGGAAGGAGGAAAGAAGAGGAAGGGGAGCAAAGAACGGACGUAGACACGAAUUAAGAACGAGAACGGAAACGAGGAAGCGAUAGCUGAUAGAACGAAGAAUCGCCGUCGUCGUUGUUUGUUUGCGCGAUCGUCGUUUGUCGCCUUAGCUUCGCCAUCGUUGACCGAAUCGCCGUCCUCCUUAGUUUCUUUCCGUUUUCACGCGCUUCCAUCGACAGACUCGAUACGCGCGCGGAUAGUUUCGCCGCUAGCCUCGCUUCGUUCCACUUUCUAUCACGAAGCAAGCGUAAAACUUAACAGCGCCAGAUUUGUCUUGGUAGGCUCGGUUUUCGCUAGAUCUCAACCUCGUCUUUACCCCUUUUUCCAACCUCCCCUUUCGUACGCGAUCGGUCAUUUCUCAAUUGCGGUAAAUAGCAAGUAGCGAGUAGGAAAUAGCGAAUAGGAAAUACCGACAGCCAGAAACGCGUACACGCGAGAAACGAUAAAAUGCACGGACGACGUAUUGCUGUACGUCAACGAGCAAGCGGCGGAGCAGCGAGUCCUUCGUCGAUCUCUCUCGAGCGAUCACGGUGUGCCUAUCGCGAUUAUUGGCCGAUUGCACGGCCGACGAUCAACGAGACACGAGGAUGACACGCGUGAUGUAACGUCGGAGUCGAGCGACGAACGGUCGUUCACUUUCGCUCGUACGCGAUCGAUUUUACUCGAGGCUAACCGGGCCCACGUAAGUACGAGCGGAAAGAAAAUAAGAGCGGUGCUCUCGCGGGUGGCUGCCUGCGAGAAUAGGUCGUAUCGAUGUAUCUCGUUCCGAGCCAAGCCUAACACCCAAUGGAGUUUUUCUGUAACGCGAGGCGUCGCGCGAGGCUACCGAGUAACCCUCUCGUUUUUCACGCCAUUUUCGGCGUGGUGCGCCGGCUCUGGUAGCCGUGUCCAAUUAAACCGACUACCUACCGAAGUGCAUUCUUUUGACUGUGAUUUUUAACCGAGCUUGGAAAUUAGUUCUUUACGAACCUCUCGAAUGUUUCGAACGCUUUCGAGCAUAGUCGCGCGAUAGUUUUUGGAGACGCGCAUCACGCAUACACGAUCACUCGCCACAUAUCAUGUACUAUUCGAAGCGUGUAGAUUUCUAACGAGCCUUCCCCCUCUCGCUGCUUCUAACAUCGCCGUAACUGUCUUCGAUCGAACCGAGCAGCAGCCAGCUGCUGUUGUAUAUCGCGUCGAGAUAUGAUCGUCAACGAUAGUGGCUAGUACGUGGACGAACCGAGAGAGAAUCCUCGUAUUCUCCGAACGAUAAGAAACGGCGAGACAAGGAACAGUAUGGCGAGACGCAUCAUUGUGGCAAAGACGGAGAACUCUGUUUACAAAAGGAAAAAAGAAAGAGAGAAGAAAACAAAACCGUAUAUGUAGCUAGAUCACGCGAGAGCGCAAAGGACGAAUUUCCAAGCGCGUCGCAACGUUAGGAUAGCUUUCGUUCGACGAAAUACGUAUACACCUAAGUAGUUUGUUUCUCGCUUUCGACGUGGCGUCAUCAUCGACUGGUCGAUGCAAGUCGAGACCGGUUAAUCGAGAACGACGAGUCGAAUAGUGGAACGUCAUUGACUUCGUGUUGCACGAAACGCCAUUAGGGUAUUGGGUUCGAUCGACCGAUCGGCGUAAUCGCUUUGCUUCCCUUCGCGAGAGGUCGCAACUCUUUCGAUCUUUGCCGAGUUUCGCGACUUUUCUCUCUCGAUUACACAUACACACACACACAUACACAUACACAAACACACGCACGAGAGCCUGGUGUUUUGUUUUUUCAGUUCAGCUCGUGGAUACUGAGUACGUUGUCGAGUACUGCGAAAUAAUCGGCCAAUGUCCGAUUCAACGACAAUAACGACGGUACUACGACUACGACCAGGACUAUUACGACGACAAAGACUGGAACAUUCCUUUCGAUUUCGUUUCGUCGAACUUUGUCCGGUUUAGUUGGAUUUCGGUUUCGCGAAUGAUUGGUCGAGAAGCGAAUAUCGGUUGAACAUCGAGAAGAGCUUCUCGCGAGAAGCGUGCGUCGUUCUUGAGGCGGUCGGUCACACAGCGCAAGGAACAAGAUGCUGUUGAAGGGCGCAGGGAAAUGGACGCAGAGACGAGGAACACGCGAUGAGGAGAGAAGAGGAGAUCUAUAAAGUUGCAGCAAUAAUAAGAUAUAGGUGUUACGGGAAACUAAUUAACGCUAAUACAAUCGUCGACGAUAAAAUCUGGAUCAUACCGAUGUAUCGUAUCUACACAAAGUGUAUACAUAUUUAUUGCUAUAUGUGUAUAUAUAUGUAUAUAUAUACACACAAAACACUCGUACGCAUAUACACACAGAGAGAAUACAGACACACACACGCACGCACACACGCACGCACGCGCGUGCGUAUACCGUAGCUCGCGAUUAUGAGCGUGAGAGACACGAGUCACGCAGUAACAUAUAUACACACACACACAUACACAUACACAUACUCGCACACCUACAUGAAACGCUGUAACACGCGUUCACACAGAAAAAAUAAAAACAUAUUACAUGUAUAUAUAAAUAGGUAGUCGGCACAGUCGAAAAGAGUAAUAUAUUAACGAUGAUAAUUUAUUAUUCGCGACGCCUGUUGCUCGUGUAAACUGUCGUCUGAUAAUUGCUUUUCGGGCAAGAAAUGGGCGACGUUCGUGUUAAUGUUUUGUUGAUUAUAUUAUAUGAACGUUGAGGUACAUGAGUUUCAAAGAUUAUGGGUUAAUGUUUGAGAAUGAUAUAAGAAAGAGGCGAAACAGAGGUAAAAAAUGGUUACGCUACACACAGGCCACGUUGCUGUAGCAACGAUAUUAAAAGUAGUAGAACGCGAUAAUGCGAUGAAGACGGCGAUACGAUGCUACGAUAAUAAUAAAAACGUGGCAAAUAUACAUGGUGAAAGGAGGGGAACGUACGACACGAUCAUAAUGAUAAUGAUAACGAUAAUUAACGAUAUUUCAAAUCACUUUGCAUUGUACAGAAGCAUACUGAUUGUUAGUUUAGGUAGCUACGUUGCCACGAUCUAUUAUUUAAUCGUUGAAUACGAUUAAGGAAUAAGUAAAAGAAAACGCGGAAAAUCCCUCUGUGACGAGUCGAUCGAUAUGCCUGGUUGUUCGAAUCGGACCGGAUGGUAUUUUGUUGUUGUGGUCGCGGUCGCACUCGCGGUCAACGUCAACGUCAACGUCAACGUCGUCGUCGUCGCCGUCGUCGUCGUCGGCGGCGGAGAAGCAGGUGGAGGAGGAUCUCAAGAAGAAAAAUUUCUUUCGCUUUCGCGUACGUGUGUUGUCGGUGGAAAGGAAAGAAAAGGAACGAUAAUCGGCGGCGGUCCGUCUACUCGAUAGACACCACCCCUCCUCCAAACUUGGUUGCUUCGCAUUUUGAAAUCGAAUCGAAUCGCGUGCACCGAGUGAUCGUGGUGAUCGCUUCGACGAACACGGUUGAUUGAUUUUGGUCGAUAAUCGUCGAUCCUCUCUCGGUGUUGGUUCGAUGCCGAUCUACGAUAUACAGGAACAAUCGUGAACACGUUAUCGGCCUCAAUGCGAUCGAUCGCGUAUCGCGUAUCCGCACCGAGACGAGAGAUCGUCGCAAACUCCCUCUCCCCUGUGCGCAUCAUUUUUGUAUAUAAUCAGCCUCCGCGAUUUGGAGACAGGUCGUUCACCUUUUGUUCGACUAGCUUUAAAUCUCGUAAAUAUCUUGUCGUUAGCGUUUUUCUCAGACGCGUGCGCGCUCGUGUGUAGCGAUAGGAAUUGAAGAAUCACACUUACUUUCGUACCAUCGAAUAAGUUUUCCCGGCCACGAUAGAUUUGUAUGUAUAAUUUGUAAUAAGCGUACGUAUCGUCGGUAAUCUCGACGGUCGGUAUGCGCAUAGAAUACGUAUUUUGGCCUAAAAAGAAAAACUAGGAAAGAGGAAUUUUCUCGUUCACACGUUAUACAUAUAUAUAUAUAUAUAUAUAUAUUACCUGUGGCUUCGUUGAUUUCCUUUCGUUCACGAGGAGAGAUUUCACGAGUGCGAAUCAAUCUUUGAUCUUAAUUCGCGCAACGGUACUGUCCGUCUGUCCAUCUGUCUGUCUACCUGUCUUUCUUUCAUUUAUAUCCCUUUUCUUUCCUCCUAUCUUCGUUGUACGUACUCGUUUCUGUUUUCCAAUAAAUAAAUAAAUAAAUAAAUAAAGCGAUCGAGACGGGAAACGCGUUCGCAUCCGAUGAACGUCGUAGCAACGCGAACUGACGAAAGACAAGACCGACAGAUGGGCUAAAGCGUGAGCCAAUCAGGAAGUAAGCACGACAGGUAAAUGGGAAUUGUGACGAAGCAGAGGGAACGCUUUAGAGACCUCGAACACGACAAAGUAUCGAGAAAUGUACAUUGGUCGUGUCGCAUCGGUGCAAUUAUUACUCUUCGAGAGACUAUUUCAAUAACCUUAUGAGUGUCAAUUCCACUUUCGAGCGUAAAUCGUAAGUUUGCGAAUGUUUUCAGACAAAAGAACAAACGAACAAAAAUAAAGAGCGAUCGUGAUUGGGGUGUUGGUGUUAAAUCAUAACGAUAAGAGAGGUUACGUGGUCGUGUCUCUUGACUGCCACGCGGCAAAGUGAGAUUAUUAUAAUAAAUUUACAUUAUCGAGAAAACUAAUUAGGGAAUGAGAGAGUGGGAGAGGAAGGAGUAUAGAAAGCACGUACGUACGAACGAGCGAACGAAAGAACGAACGAACGAACGAACGAGCGAGCGAACGAACGAACGAACGAACGAGCGAGCGCGCGAACGUACGAACGAACGAACGAAAGCAAAGAAAUAAGAAAGUAAGAAAGUUGGGAAAAAGGGUUGUGAAAAGAGAGAAUGAGAGGAAAAGCUUAGAAAGAGAGAAGCAACGUGCGAUCGGACGAAUGUACUGACAAACGAACGAACGAACGAACGAACGAACGAACGAACGAUGUUUAAAAAAGAAAGAAAAGUUCGAGCGAAAGAGUGCGUAUGCGUGCAUGCGAGAGAGAAACCGAUGCACGAAAGAGAUACUUUGAAGAAUUUAGCACGUUGAACAAUGGUAUGGAAAUACUUUUUAUCGUAGACACACUUCUAUUAGGCGAGAGAAUUACAAGGACGAUGAAAAGGCAAAAAAAUAGAAAAAGAAAAAGACAAAAAGAGACCUGUAUUAAGGAUUACUUAUUAAAUAAAUGAACGGUGUUUUUUCCGCCUA